AGGGUUCGAUUCUGGCUCAGGAUGAACGCUGGCGGCGUGCCUAACACAUGCAAGUCGAACGAAGCAUACGGACUGGAGAUUCGUCGAAGGACUGUAUGACUUAGUGGCGGACGGGUGAGUAAUGUAUGAGCAACCUGCCUUUCAGAGGGGGACAACAGUUGGAAACGACUGCUAAUACCGCGUAACGUAUCGUGGGGGCAUCCUCGUGGUACCAAAGGAGCAAUCCGCUGAAAGAUGGGCUCAUAUCUGAUUAGCUUGUUGGCGGGGUAACGGCCCACCAAGGCGACGAUCAGUAGCCGGACUGAGAGGUUGAACGGCCACAUUGGGACUGAGAUACGGCCCAGACUCCUACGGGAGGCAGCAGUGGGGAAUAUUGGGCAAUGGGCGAAAGCCUGAACCCCAGCAACGCCGCGUGAAGGAAGAAGGUCUUCGGAUUGUAAACUUCUUUUAUGAGGGACGAAGGACGUGACGGUACCUCAUGAAUAAGCCACGGCUAACUACGUGCCAGCCGCAGC
rnacentral:rRNA from 1 species